rnacentral:misc_RNA from 1 species
GAUGAAGAACGUAGUGAAAUGCGAUAAGUAAUGUGAAUUGCAGAAUUCAGUGAAUCAUCGAAUCUUUGAACGCACCUUGCGCUCCUUGGUAUUCCGAGGAGCAUGCCUGUUUGAGUGUCAUUAAAUUCUCAACCUCACCUGGUUUCUGACUUGUGUGAUGGCUUGGAUUUGGGAGUUGUGCAGGCUGUAGUUAUCUGCGGCUCUGCUCUCCUUAAAUGUAUUAGCAGGUCUUUUACCUCUAUCCCAACAGUGUGAUAAUCUAUCUACGCUGCUGGUUUGGAGACCCACUUGUGGGGGACUGGCUUCUAAUCGUCUGCAAAGACAACUUGACAUUCUUGACCUCAAAUCAGGUAGGACUACCCGCUGAACUUAAGCAUAUCAAUAAGCGGAGGA